UACGUAGGGCGCAAGCGUUGUCCGGAAUUAUUGGGCGUAAAGAGCUCGUAGGCGGCCUGUUGCGUCCGCUGUGAAAUCCCGGGGCUCAACCCCGGGCCUGCAGUGGAUACGGGCUGGCUAGAGGCAGGCAGGGGAGAACGGAAUUCCUGGUGUAGCGGUGAAAUGCGUAGAUAUCAGGAGGAACACCAAUGGCGAAGGCAGAUCUCUGGGCCGUAACUGACGCUGAGGAGCGAAAGCAUGGGGAGCGAACAGG
rnacentral:rRNA from 1 species